AGGUCUCAGACAUCCACCAUUCCAGCCUCCAAUCCCGCACCUUAUACCACCUCCACCAUCGUGACUCACGCUUCAGGUAACAGCUUUCAAUCGCGAACAACUGCUCUGCCUCCUGCAUGUGGGCACCUCCGCCGGUCUCAGAACCCGAACCCCCGCCAGCCUCAUACACCGCACCUGAGGCGACCUCCACCCUCUAGCUUCGCUGGAUUGGCCUUGUUUUCUUCUUCUCUCUUUGCGUGCUCUGCCACUGCCAGGUUCUAAUUUUUAUUGAAUAGAAUCAUCCACUGUAGCCAUGGAUAACAGUAGUGAUGUUCCAGCACGUGUUCAGAUGUCAGGUUCUAAAAAAAAUAAAAAACACUUGUCAAUUAAAGUACAAAAGACUGGUAAUAAGAAGGUGAUUAGUGCACACAAAACUAAGUUUUCACACCUUAAGCCUACAAAAUCACGAGUUCCAGUUCCUUCACAUGUAUCUAAAAAGCCUUCAGCAUUACC